rnacentral:rRNA from 1 species
UCGAGAAUCUUUGUCAAUGGGGGAAACCCUGAACAAGCGAUGCCGCGUGCGGGAUGAAGGCCUUCGGGUUGUAAACCGCUGUCAGUUGUUAGGAAAUGCGUGGUGGUUCUCCAUCAUGUUUGACCGAUCUUCAGAGGAAGGACGGGCUAAGUUCGUGCCAGCAGCCGCGGUAACACGAACCGUCCAAACGUUAUUCGGUAUCACUGGGCUUAAAGCGUGCGUAGGCGGCCUGGAAGGUCAGAGGUGAAAUCCCACGGCUCAACCGUGGAACUGCCUUUGAAACCACUUGGCUUGAGGAAGACAGGGGUGAUCGGAACUUAUGGUGGAGCGGUGAAAUGCGUUGAUAUCAUAGGGAACACCGGUGGCGAAAGCGGAUCACUGGGUCUUUUCUGACGCUGAGGCACGAAAGCUAGGGUAGCGAACGGGAUUAGAUACCCCCGUAGUCC